GGCUGUCAGCGAUCGAGGACCACAGUAUACCUGAUGCCCUCCCUCCUGACCUGUGAUUGGGAUUGAGCUGAAGAUAGUCACUGACAUGAUUCAAAGGAUUAGCACUUGGUACAGGAUGAACCGUUGUCCACAUUCUGUUUUCUGAGUCAAAGAGGAGGAAGAUCUGUCCAUCGAAACUGAGCUGCCAAGAUCCACUGCCGUGUCCUUCGGCUUUCUGCUCACAAGACAUCCUGGCCUGCAGGGUGAGGGGUUCUGCCCCCAUCAAAGAGAGAUCAGCUCUGGCCUUGACAGAUAUUGAGCCCCCAUCCUCUUCCACUUGCAAUUUCCUGGUCUUACUUGCUCUGCCACAUCCUGGCCUUGCCUCUAGACGUCUUGCGGGGUGAGAUGACCUUCCUAUUUGUAUUUUUACAUGAAAACUAUAAAUGCCUCUAACC
rnacentral:lncRNA from 1 species